GGACGAACGCUGGCGGCGUGCCUAAUACAUGCAAGUCGAACGGUCUUUUCUAUGGAAGCUUGCUUCCGCUGAGAAGAUAGUGGCGAACGGGUGAGUAACACGUGGGUAACCUGCCCAUAAGAGGGGGAUAACAUCCGGAAACGGGUGCUAAUACCGCAUAGUUUUCUUGAUCGCAUGAUCGGGAAAGGAAAGACGGCCUUUGUGCUGUCGCUUAUGGAUGGACCCGCGGCGUAUUAGUUAGUUGGUGAGGUAACGGCUCACCAAGACGAUGAUACGUAGCCGACCUGAGAGGGUGAUCGGCCACAUUGGGACUGAGACACGGCCCAAACUCCUACGGGAGGCAGCAGUAGGGAAUCUUCCGCAAUGGACGAAAGUCUGACGGAGCAACGCCGCGUGAGUGAAAGAAGGUUUUCGGAUCGUAAAACUCUGUUGUCAGAGAAGAACAAGUUGGAGAGUAACUGCUCCAGCCUUGACGGUAUCUGACCAGAAAGCCACGGCUAACUACGUGCCAGCCGCGGC
rnacentral:rRNA from 1 species